AAACCCCAACCGCAGGGCGGCCUUGGGCUCCCUGACCUAGCCACAUACCACCGAGCUAUCCAUCUACUACGGAUAAUCGAAUGGACAACAGCACCCCUGGAUAAACUCUGGACAAACAUAGAAGCCAGCUUCACGACACUACCUCUGCAAACACUCCCGUGGCAACCCACAACACCAGUGACCAGGGGAGACCGAAGCCACCCCACAAUAGCCGCCACCCUCCACAUCUGGAAGAAAAUAUCGGCAGGGGUGGACCUCUCCCCACCUACUUCCCCUCUCUACCCCGUCAUGAGUAACCUGGCAUUUAGUGGCCUGGACACCGCCUGGACCACCAGAUCUAUUGACAAGAUUUAGACAUCACCAAAUCACACUCAGACUCAAACAGUUACCUAACAUAAAUUCGGCCGACAGACCGCUAACCACGUUUGAGACAAAGUGCACCCAGCCACUCCCCCCACCACAUGACAUAUCACUGCUUUACCGGCUACUGCAAACACCGCCAACAAACCAGAACUUCUCGUAUUUCACUAAACACUGGGAACGAGACUUAGGCCACCCUCUUACAAUAGAACAAUGAACCAACGCCUUUAACGCUGACAGCACGAAAUACCAGGAAUCCGGAUACAAACUCGCUUCUAUUAGCAACACCUGCACACUGGAAUGCUGGAGAUGCGGCAAGGAGCUGGGCACGCUAUUCCACAUAUGGUGGUCGUGCACCCAGAUCCAACCAUAUUGGCAAGAGAUUCCCCCUGAUCAUCUCGGUAAUCAUGGAAGACUCCGUUGAAUACACUCCAAAAACCUAUCUACUCCACAUGACCCCCAUACUGCUGAAGACCUACAAGAAAACCGUCAUUCCAUAUUUGAUAAACGCCGCAUGCAGCCUCGUCCCGACAGAGUUCAUCCCCCUCCACCAAGGAUUGGAUCACUAGAGUGGAAGACAUCAGGAACAUAGAGGAAAUAAUCCUGAUGGCAAGGGGAAAGAGCCAGACCUACCAGAAAAUAUUGUACCACUUGACACAUUGGCUAACAACAAUCUACCCAAGCCGGAUAGGAAACACACAACUUUCAGCGGC